UGGCUCAGAGGUUAAAGCGUCUGCCUGCAAUGCGGGAUACCCGGGUUCGAUCCCUGG
rnacentral:tRNA from 1 species